rnacentral:lncRNA from 1 species
GGGAUUUGCGGGUUUUGCAGAGGCGGCGUUGAUUGGGGGAUGGAAGACCGACGGCUGCAAACUUGGUAGAUCUAUGAUAAACUAAACUGAAGAUCUAGGGCUCGAUGGUCGCCGGGAAUUGAAGAGAGAAUCGAGGGAGGAGACUGAAAUUGGGUACCUAGGGUUCCAGGUGGCGAAUCGUGGUGUAGUGUUUGUGUCGUGUCGUCGCGUUGUGAGGUGGUCAUGGUGUGGUGUUUGUGUCGUGGCGUGGUGGUGGAAGGCGACGACUGGAGACAAGGUCGCGCUGUGCGGCGCAGCGGAGAUGGAGGAUGGCGGCGAAUCUGGGGCGCAAUGGGCCAGGGAAGAAAAAGAGGGCACACUCUAGCGGCUGGCCUGAGCGGUGGUAGCAGAAUCC